ACCUGGCUGGCUCAGUUGGAGUGUGUGACUCUUGAUCUCAGGGUUGUGAGUUCAAGCCCCACGCUGGGCA
rnacentral:tRNA from 1 species